UGAGGGAUAUUGCACAAUGGGCGCAAGCCUGAUGCAGCGACGCCGCGUGGGUGAUGAAGGCUUUCGAGUCGUAAAACCCUUUUUCUGUGUGACGAGCAAGGACGGUAGCACAGGAAUAAGUCUCGGCUAACUACGUGCCAGCAGCCGCGGUAAAACGUAGGAGACAAACGUUAUCCGGAGUUACUGGGCGUAAAGGGCGUGCAGGCGGUUUGGUAAGUCUGGCGUGAAAUCAUUCGGCUUAACCGGGUGAUGUCGUCGGAGACUGCCAGACUAGAGGGUGAUAGAGGCGUGUGGAAUUCCGGGUGUAGUGGUGAAAUGCGUAGAGAUCCGGAGGAACACCAGUGGCGAAGGCGACACGCUGGGUCACACCUGACGCUAAGACGCGACAGCAUGGGGAGCGAACGGGAUUAGAUACCCUCGUAGUCCCUGAGCGGGCUGGCAAGGCGCAU
rnacentral:rRNA from 1 species